UUGGAGGGCAAGUCUGGUGCCAGCAGCCGCGGUAAUUCCAGCUCCAAUAGCGUAUAUUAAAGUUGUUGCAGUUAAAAAGCUCGUAGUUGAAUUUCGGGAUCAGAGUGUCGGUCGUGCCUCGGUACGCACUGGUAUUAUUGGUUCCUACCUUCUGAAGAACCGCGAUGUCAUUAAUUUGGUGUCGUGGGGAAUCAGGACUGUUACUUUGAAAAAAUUAGAGUGUUUAAAGCAGGCUUACGCUUGAAUACAUUAGCAUGGAAUAAUGAAAUAGGACGUUUGAUUCUAUUUUGUUGGUUUCUAGGAUUGACGUAAUGAUUAAUAGGGAUAGUUGGGGGCAUUAGUAUUCAAUUGUCAGAGGUGAAAUUCUUGGAUUUAUUGAAGACUAACUACUGCGAAAGCAUUUGCCAAGGAUGUUUUCAUUGAUCAAGAACGAAAGUUAGGGGAUCGAAGACGAUCAGAUACCGUCGUAGUCUUAACCAUAAACUAUGCCGACUAGGGAUCGGAUGAUGUUAAUUUUUUAAUGACUCAUUCGGCGCCUUACGGGAAAC
rnacentral:rRNA from 1 species